AUACGGAGGGUGCAAGCGUUAAUCGGAAUUACUGGGCGUAAAGGGUGCGUAGGCGGUUUAAUAAGUCGGGUGUGAAAGCCCCAAGCUCAACUUGGGAAUUGCAUUCGAUACUGUUGAACUGGAGUGUGGUAGAGGGAAGCGGAAUUCCGGGUGUAGCGGUGAAAUGCGUAGAUAUCCGGAGGAACACCAGUGGCGAAGGCGGCUUCCUGGACCAACACUGACGCUCAAGCACGAAAGCGUGGGGAGCAAACAGGAUUAGAAACCCUAGUAGUCC
rnacentral:rRNA from 1 species